AAUGAACGCUGGCGGCGUGCCUAACACAUGCAAGUCGGAUGUGCCCGCAAGGGUGCAUGGCAGACGGGUGAGUAACGCGUGGGGAAUCUACCUUUUAGUGGGGAAUAACGCUCCGAAAGGAGUGGUAAUACCGCAUGUGACCAUCGGCUGGGAUGCUGAUGGUGAAACCCUGGGACCUUCGGGCCAGGGGCUAGAAGAGGAUCCUGCGUCUGAUUAGCUAGUUGGCGGGGUAACGGCCCACCAAGGCGACGAUCAGUAGCCGGCCUGAGAGGGUGAUCGGCCACACUGGAACUGAGACACGGUCCAGACUCCUACGGGAGGCAGCAGUGGGGAAUUUUGCGCAAUGGACGAAAGUCUGACGCAGCAACGCCGCGUGGGUGAUGAAGGUCUUCGGAUUGUAAAA
rnacentral:rRNA from 1 species